rnacentral:rRNA from 1 species
UACGAAGGGUGCAAGCGUUACUCGGAAUUACUGGGCGUAAAGGGUUCGUAGGUGGCUCGCUAAGUCAGACGUGAAAUCCCUCAGCUUAACUGGGGAACUGCGUCUGAGACUGGCGAGCUCGAGUGCAGGAGAGGAACGCGGAAUUCCAGGUGUAGCGGUGAAAUGCGUAGAUAUCUGGAGGAACACCGGUGGCGAAGGCGGCGUUCUGGACUGCAACUGACACUGAGGAACGAAAGCCAGGGGAGCAAACGGG